UCCCGCCAUUGGCUAUUUUAUCUGGUUUCCGACACUAGACAGGGUCCCUGAUUACAUAACAGAUGUAACUCCAUACUUCUUCAUCUUGAUAUUACUGGAGAUGAUAAUUCGCUGGGUACAAGGACUCCCUAGAUUACGUUUAAAUGACUCCAUAGGCUCUCUCUCAGCUGGAAUGUUCAUGCUCAUGCUUAACUUGGUUUUAUUUCAGAGCAUUGAGCUAGUUGGGUAUGUGUGGGUCUACAACAAUUACAGGCUGUUUUAUACAUCAUUUGGUUCAUUUCAUUUUAACAAUAUAAUUAAGAAAGAGUGCAGCAAUGCUCUGGUUAUAUCCU